UUCCGGGUUUCUCACCAAAGACUUGCGCAUCUGGUGCAAUUACAGAUUUCAGUCUUGAGAAGUGUGGGAAAAUCUUUACACAUACCUGAACGCUGAAACAUAAACUUGAAACUUUUUGCUGCUUUGCAGCAUAAAGAUUUCGUUUUCAAAUUUUGAAAUGUAAGACGUUUGUGUGUCGGCGGCUAACAGUAUAAUCCGUGUUCCUGGCUGUUGACGUCGUGGACGUCGCUGCAUUGGUGCGCAGAAAAGCGGUCUUGUGUGUUUUGUUUUCCAGUGACUAACCCUUUUAAGAAAACCUGUAACUGAAGUGUUAAACAAACGAUUCCAUGGUCCCCGGACCAAUGGCGGACCUUAUGAAGACGCCGGGUAAGCCAGCAUCGUGGCUCCCUGCCAUCGGACUAGUGUUGCUAUUGGGCGGAACAUUCAAGAGUGGCGUGGAGAGGACGGCAGCGGUAGACAC